UACGUAGGGGGCAAGCGUUGUCCGGAAUUAUUGGGCGUAAAGAGCGCGUAGGCGGUCCGAUAAGUCGGCUGUGAAAGUCAGGGGCUCAACCCUUGAAAGCCGGCCGAUACUGUCGGACUAGAGUCCGGAAGAGGCAAGUGGAAUUCCCGGUGUAGCGGUGAAAUGCGCAGAUAUCAGGAGGAACACCGAUGGCGAAGGCAGCUCGCUGGGACGGUACUGACGCUGAGACGCGAAAGCGUGGGGAGCGAACAGG
rnacentral:rRNA from 1 species